rnacentral:lncRNA from 1 species
AUUGCGUUAGGACCAGGGGAUAGGGGCGCGAUGGGGAACGGGACCCAAUGAAUGAACAGGGCGCGGUGGAGGACAGGGUGCCGUGGAAGAACUGGGUGCAAUGGAGGAACAGGGAGGGAGGACGCGGUGGGAAACGAGAAUAAGGGCGUCAUGGAGAACAGAGUUGGGAGCGGAGGUGGAAAACGGGAUGUGGUGGAGGAACAGGACAGAGAGAGCGCUAUUUGGGACUUGCGUACGGACGCUGCCUACUUUAUUUUCUUUUUUCCGUGUGAUGCGGGUGGAAGCCUCAGCGUCCGGACACGCUGCUAGCGCCGGACGUCCGGGCACUAGCAAUACCGUAUUACAUAUGUGC